rnacentral:rRNA from 1 species
UACGGAGGAUCCAAGCGUUAUCCGGAUUUAUUGGGUUUAAAGGGUGCGUAGGCGGCCUAUUAAGUCAGGGGUGAAAGACGGUAGCUUAACUAUCGCAGUGCCUUUGAUACUGAUGGGCUUGAAUGUACUUGAGGUAGGCGGAGUGUGACAAGUAGCGGUGAAAUGCAUAGAUAUGUCACAGAACGCCAAUUGCGAAGGCAGCUUACUAAAGUAUGAUUGACGCUGAGGCACGAAAGCGUGGGGAUCAAACAGG